rnacentral:rRNA from 1 species
UACAGAGGGUGCAAGCGUUGUCCGGAAUUAUUGGGCGUAAAGGGCUCGUAGGCGGUUUGUCGCGUCGGGAGUGAAAACCUUGGGCUUAACUCAGGGCUUGCUUUCGAUACGGGCAGACUAGAGGUAUGCAGGGGAGAACGGAAUUCCUGGUGUAGCGGUGGAAUGCGCAGAUAUCAGGAGGAACACCGGUGGCGAAGGCGGUUCUCUGGGCAUUACCUGACGCUGAGGAGCGAAAGUAUGGGGAGCGAACAGG